rnacentral:rRNA from 1 species
CCUACGGGAGGCAGCAGUGGGGGAUAUUGCACAAUGGGGGGAACCCUGAUGCAGCGACGCCGCGUGGGUGAAGGAGUGCUUCGGCAUGUAAAGCCCUAUCGGCAGGGAAGAAGCAAGACGGUACCUGACUAAGACGCCCCGGCUAACUACGUGCCAGCAGCCGCGGUAAUACGUAGGGGGCGAGCGUUAUCCGGAUUCACUGGGUGGAAAGGGAGCGUAGACGGCCAUGCAAGCCAGGGGUGAAAGCCCGGGGCCCAACCCCGGGACUGCCCUUGGAACUGCAUGGCUGGAGUGCGGGAGGGGCAGGCGGAAUUCCUGGUGUAGCGGUGAAAUGCGUAGAUAUCAGGAGGAACACCGGCGGCGAAGGCGGCCUGCUGGACCGCGACUGACGUUGAGGCUCGAAAGCGUGGGGAGCGAACAGGAUUAGAUACCCUAGUAGUC